GAGACGCCUCUCCAUUCCCCACCACAACCCCGCCUCCCCCAACCCAAGCAGAGAUUAGAGCUCUUUGUAUGUGCGGGCGGCCAUGGCCGGUAACGGGAGCCCAGUGCUGAGCCUGGAAGAUACGCUCGCCUCCUGCCCCGUGUGCAUGGAAUAUUUCAUAGAUGCCAGCUGCGGGCACAACAUCUGCCCGCGGGCCUGCAACCCAGACCCCCUGGAGGAGCCGGAGUGGAGCCCUUGCUGUCCUAGAUGCCAGAAGCCCGUCCUGCAUGUGUCAUGUGCCACAUACUGGGAUAUGUCAAAAGAGUGGCUGGCCUGUCUGAUAAAAGAGAGAGAAGAAACCAAAGCUGAUGAGGAGAUGCAAAGUGAGAAGCUGCUGAAACAGACGGAAGAUGAGAAACAGAGGAUCCUCUGCGAAUGGAAGGAUCUACGUGGGUUUCUGGAGAAGCAGGAGCAGGUGCUGCUGUCCCAGGUAGAAAAGCUGGACAGAGCCAUUGUCAAGAGAAGGGACAAGAGCAUCUCUGAGCUGUCCCAGGAGAUUUCUCUGCUAAGUGAGCUGCUCAAUCAGAGGGGAGGAGAGAACGGGCAGGAGCCACUGAGCCAGUCCAUACAGGGUGUGGGCAGCUCUGAGAACAGCAGGAAGAACAGGGUGCUGCAGAAGCCAGAGUCUGGGUUUGUGGAGCUGGAGAAGAGACUUGGGGAUUUCUCUCAGAGAAGUACCACCCUGCUGGAGCUGCUGCAGGGAUUCAAAGGUAAAUGGGAGAUUCAUGGUGGCAUCUCCUUUGGUUAGAGUAACGGUCAC
rnacentral:lncRNA from 1 species